UGAGAAACCUGAUUUUGAGAAGUCUUUUAGGAUACACAUCUUGAAACUAAACCAGCUGCUGUUGGCUUUGUUGCUACAUCAGAUACAACUUUGGAAAGGACAUGGUAAUGAGAGCUGACAAGUGGGAAUUCUCUGAUUCAAAAACAUCUAAAAAUUCUCUGGAUAGGAGCACUAAGGCUCCCACUGCCAUCCUGAGAGGGAGUCAAGAGAGGUUCUGACCUCCCAGAGCUGAGGUGUUGAUGAGAGAGUGCCACUGUAAAGUUCUGGGAAUUUUUCAAGAGCCCUCUCCUGGAAACACAAAACCAGUUUAUCCACCUUAAAAGUAAAGGAAGCAGGUGGAGCAAGUGACCUCCUUGGCUUAACUGUGAGCUUCUGAAUCUGCUCUAAACCAAAAAAGAAGAAAUUCACAGAUGGACAAGCAGAUGAACACCUGUUGGGAACUACAAAGGUAUUCUGGGGUUUUCUUAAUAGUUAGAGAUAGUCCUGUUCUUAACUCUCUCCUCACUAAACUCUGAGAUAUUUCAUCUACAUGCUAAAGAAAAAUUAUCUGAAUGGAAUAUAAAUAAAUAUUGGGUCUGGGUCCA
rnacentral:lncRNA from 1 species